UACGUAGGGUGCAAGCGUUAAUCGGAAUUACUGGGCGUAAAGCGUGCGCAGGCGGCUUUGCAAGACAGAUGUGAAAUCCCCGGGCUUAACCUGGGAACUGCAUUUGUGACUGCAUUGCUGGAGUGCGGCAGAGGGGGAUGGAAUUCCGCGUGUAGCAGUGAAAUGCGUAGAUAUGCGGAGGAACACCGAUGGCGAAGGCAAUCCCCUGGGCCAACACUGACGCUCAGGCACGAAAGCGUGGGGAGCAAACAGG
rnacentral:rRNA from 1 species